rnacentral:misc_RNA from 1 species
ACCUUCCGUCAGUUGCAGCCAAAAGGAUCUAUCUGACCUGUUCAAAGCCUGGUUAACAAAACCGUCCACAAUCUUAACAGCAUCCUCAACUAAACCGUCUUUCACAAGAAUAGGUAGAAGAGCAUAUACAGUUACACAGUCAGGAUACAUUUUCUUCUUCAUCUGAUGGAAUAGCAAAAAUGCUUCGGUUACCCUUUUUUCUUUGGCCAACCCAAAUAUUACAGUGUUAUAACUGAAAACAUCCGGAAAGCAAUUUGGUCCUGUCAUUUGAUAAAGCAAUGUCAAGGCCGUGUCAACCUCACCAUUCUUGCAAAGACUAUCUAAAAGAGUAUUGUAAGUGAUUGUGUUUGGAGCACAUCCGUGAAGAG